rnacentral:tRNA from 1 species
AAGAAAUUAUGCCAAAUAAAAAGCUUCUAACUAAUUUAUUAAAUGGUUAAAUUCCAUUUAUUUCUUA